rnacentral:tRNA from 1 species
GGAGGAGUCGCCUAGUUGGUCCAUGGCGAGGGUUUGCUAAACCCUUGAGCUCUAAAAAAGCUCGCGUGGGUUCGAAUCCCACCUCCUCCG